rnacentral:ncRNA from 1 species
AUUUUAGUGAAUAUAUACUAUUAUCUCAGUGAAAACAUAAUUUCGCAGAUUAUGCUGAGGUAUACUGAAAUGGUCGGUAGUAUACGAAACAAGGAUACUUGUGGAAAUUACCGUUUUUUAUGCAGUGAUGUUUAAAAUGAAUCAAUAAAUCAAAGGUGUAGCACUAUUAUAAUCGCAGAUAAAAGCAACUAUCAUGUCGGUAACGCAAUAGACGCAUCAGAUGAUGAAGAAUCCAAGUUAGGAAAUUAGUUGGUUACUAACUUCACACCUUGGAAAUGCCAUAAGUUAUUUCGCUAUGAAGCAAGGAAACUUGUGUAUAAGAUGUGUAUAGGGUCUAAGUAGGCAAAGGCGAAGAAAUAAAUUUUAUAAGAGGAUUUAUAGAAAAUUAAUGAUAAUGAAUUGUUGCUGAAAGGUGUAGGUAAUCAUUCCUAUUAAGGCUUGAAGUUAUUUGUGGCAGGAAUGUUAUAAGGUCGCUACUUAUAGCACAUACCUGUUUCCCUUGUGGCUGAAUAUAUCUGAAGAUUGUAUUUAGUAGAAUGAAGAUUCAAUAGUAUAUGUUCAAUAAA